AGUCUCCUCCUUAGAAAAAGGGAGGGAGGAGAGGAGGAGGCAAAAGAUGGCGCUGGCGGCGCAAGCGCAGCCAGGGCGCAGACAUAAAGGACUCGUCUAGAGCAAAAGAGGCGGCCUAAGAGCUUCGGCUCAAGCUGGCGGAAAUUGCCGAAGCGAGUGCGGGGUGGGCUUCGACUGACGAAUCCGCAGCGGGGAGGCGGCCGGCACCGCCCGCGAGAUCACCCUCGCGAUUUUCUCUCUCCCUCCCCGUGGGGGUUCCAAAAAGACUUGGAUUGGCGAGGUGCAAAACGGCGAUUCCCACUUUGCGUUUUAACAUUGCAAGCUUGUCCCACCCACCCCCACCGCCGUGUAAAUAGAUCCAAGGAUCUGUACUUUUGAGGGUUUUGUUUCGCUUUCCACAGGGCAGGGAGGCAGAAGGGAAGAAUCUCCCUUUGUAUUCACAGGUGCCUUUUGUGUAGCAGCCAGGGCAGCGCAGCAGCAGCAUCAAAGCGCCAGUUGCCAUGUGCUGCGCUCUUGGGACGCCGGCGGGGUCGGAAGGAGUUGAUUGGCGGGCCGGCAGUCGGUCAAGGGUUGGAAAGCAAAAAGGUGGUCGGGUGUAAGGCCUCCUGAGCUGACUCAACAUCCCCGACCGGCCACCCCCACGCCGCCGAGACUUUGCUUGUACUGUACUCCCGAGGUGCUGCUUGGUUCAAUGAGUUGCAGGGCUGCAUUUCCGGGACUGUUGCCCUGUCUGGCAGGGAUGAUGGUACUUUCAAGAUCUAGGGGUGCUGCAGAUCCCUUCCACUCACUGUGCCAAGCCACUUCCACUACACUUUCUCUUGGUUCCAUCCAUGCCAAGCUCCUUCUUCAUGUUCUGUGAAUGGAAGAUCCUCUGCCACGAUAGGUAAAUAAAAACUCCAUCUUUAGAAGCAGAACACCUGUGAAUGCCAGAUACUCAGGGAAGAAGUCUGGCCCUCUCUGGCAAGUUCUCCUGUGACUGUUUGUUUGUUGGUAGAUGGUUACAUUUUAUUUCUGUUCUCUGGGUGAACUGGAACAGAUACAUAAAGCAGCAAGUAAAUUGUUUACUUGA